CCUGUAAUUUUAUUUUUUUUCUUUUUGUUAUUCCUUUCCACUAAUUUUUUUGUUAAAUAAGUGAUAAAGUUAAAAUUAAAAGAUACUAAAGUUAAUAUUUGAUAAACUAUAGGUGGGAUAUCUGAAAUUUUUAUAUAUGAUUUAACGAAAAGUUAACAGAUGAGCUGAUAAAAAGAAAUAAAUAAAAUCACAUACUACUAAAUUGAUAUAUUUUAAAUCAUAAAGUAUUUAAGUGAAAAGGUGCUAAAUUACUAGUAUUUGGGGUUUACAGUUUUUUUUAUUAAUUAGAUUUU
rnacentral:lncRNA from 1 species